UACGGCCACAUCACACUGAAACACCAGUUCCCGAACGAUCACCAAAGUUAAGCAACGUCGAUCCCGGUCAGUACUUGAACCGGUAACCGCUUAUGAAUACCUGGUGCCGUAAG